AUUGAACGCUGGCGGCAUGCUUUACACAUGCAAGUCGAACGGUAACAGGCCGCAAGGUGCUGACGAGUGGCGAACGGGUGAGUAAUGCAUCGGACCGUGCCCAGUCGUGGGGGAUAACGCAGCGAAAGCUGUGCUAAUACCGCAUCGGAUCUAUGGAUGAAAGCGGGGGACCGGAAGGCCUCGCGCGAUUGGAGCGGCCGAUGUCAGAUUAGGUAGUUGGUGGGGUAAAGGCCUACCAAGCCAACGAUCUGUAGCUGGUCUGAGAGGACGACCAGCCACACUGGGACUGAGACACGGCCCAGACUCCUACGGGAGGCAGCAGUGGGGAAUUUUGGACAAUGGGCGCAAGCCUGAUCCAGCAAUGCCGCGUGCAGGAAGAAGGCCUUCGGGUUGUAAACUGCUUUUGUACGGAACGAAACGGUCUGGGUUAAUACCCUGGGCUAAUGACGGUACCGUAAGAAUAAGCACCGGCUAACUACGUGCCAGCCGCCGCCGUAAGAC
rnacentral:rRNA from 1 species